GCCCCACAUUGGGUAUAGAGAUGACUUAAAUAAAUAAAAAACUUAAAUUUAAAAAAAAAUUUUGAGGAGGUGGGAGCAGUAAUGUCAUUUUUGGAGCUCUUCUUUUAAAAUUAAGAUCAGGUUGUGAUGGUUUUUGGCAUAUGAUAUUAAAGAGUAUUUAACCUAUGAAGUUUUAAAGUAAGAGCAGUGAUUGAACUUGGAUUGGCAAGGAAUGAAGCAGGUAGGAAGCACCAGUUGGGCAGCGCGUAUUAAGCGUAAGUCAAGGAGAAAGAGUCCACGUUGAGAGAAAGAUUGUCUUAAAUACUGUAGUCUGAUGGGUUUUAGAAACCCAGAUUUACAAUCUAGAUGGAUACGGUUUUAGGUAUGCAGUAUCCGUUAAACUAAGGUAUUGGUAUAAGAAUAAUGGGAAGAAAUAAAGAAAAAUAAUGUUCAGGAUUUGGUAUAGGUUCUGAGAGAUCCCUAGUCCUCCUUGUUUAUCAUUGUACCCUCAGUGAUUAACUUGAUGUCUGGCAUAUAACUUGUAUACAGGUACAUAACAUGGGCAUUUAUCAACUCCAGUAGAUAGUAGGAAAUGUCUGAAUGUAGUUCAAUUUUGUUUUUAUUAUUUGAUGAAUUUUGGAGUCACCUGCAUGGUAUUUAUUGGUUUGUGUUACUGUGGUGCCUGCAAGUCUUAUUAAAGGAGUUUUUCCCCCUAUAUUAAAUAUUUCCAAAUAGCUAUAUUCUUUAUAUGAGGUACCACUUUUUAUUUUUCCUAUUUAUUUGCCAAUGAUUGCCGCUCUCAGGUAUCUUUGUACUCCUGUGCUCUGUACGUUUCUGCUUUUAAUAUACUGAAAAUUUAGAAACAACCUGUAGAGUGAGAUUUUUUUUUUUUUAAAGAGAGAAAAGCUAAUCCCCUGAGGUGCUUUUUGUUCUAGUUGCCCAGAGCUGUUAUAGCUAGCUUCCUGGUCUCCUGGUCCUCUGCGUUUUGAGUUUAGUUAUCUGUAUCCUUGUGAUGCAGGUAGGUGGUGAGUAGUUGGACACCUGGAUCACAUUAGGUAUAGAGAAGGGGAACAAGAUCAAA